rnacentral:rRNA from 1 species
UACGUAGGGGGCUAGCGUUGUCCGGAAUCAUUGGGCGUAAAGAGCGUGUAGGCGGCCCGGUAAGUCCGCUGUGAAAGUCGGGGGCUCAACCCUCGAAUGCCGGUGGAUACUGUCGGGCUAGAGUGCGGAAGAGGCGAGUGGAAUCCUGGUGUAGCGGUGAAAUGCGCAGAUAUCAGGAGGAACACCUAUUGCGAAGGCAGCUCGCUGGGACGUAACUGACGCUGAGACGCGAAAGCGUGGGGAGCAAACAGG